GCCUCAUCCCAGUACAAACUGGGCCCAUUCCCAGUACAAACUGAGACCCUCAGCCCUUUCCCAGUAUGAAUUGAGCCCAUCCCAGUUCGAACUGGGCCCCCCAACCCCAUCCCGGUACAAACUGGGCCCAUUCCCAGUACAAACUGGGCGCCUUUCCCUUCGCCCCGCCCCCCGUUGCCAGGUAACCGCCACCGCCGUUCCCGCCUCUUUUCCCCCCGUUGCCAGGCAACCGCCGCCAUUUUGUCCCCUCUCCCCGUUGCCAGGCAACCGCCGCCAUUUUGUCCCCUCCCCCCGUUGCCAGGCAACCGACGCCAUUUCGUCCUGCCCCGCCGGGCUGCCCGCACUGCGCAUGCGCGCUCGCCGGCCUCCCAUUGGCUCCCGCCCCGCGGCUUCAAACGGUCCGGCGGGAGCGAUGGCGGCGGAGGCUGCGGCCGGAGGAGUGUCAAGACACGGGUUUUCCUGUUUGCAAGUCCCAGAUCCUGGUGAACAUCACCUAGGUUGGUUAACCUAGCAGCUGUGCACAGAAGCUGUCUCCAAGAACCCACAGAAACCUCGGGAAUGUUUGCACCCUGCAGUGUCCCUUUUCUGUGACAGUCUGAGUGAUUUAAGGCCCCCAGGGUGACACGGGGUCAUUGAAGUCAUCUUAGUCCAGUGGCUUCCACAAGACUGUCUGCUUCUUCAGCCUGACUGCAGGCAUUUACCUCUGACCACACUGCCACCCUGACUGGCUCUGCUCUGACCCUCACCCACAAGGGCUCCCCCACUCUGCUGCCCAUCCCAUAGAGGAGCUCCAUGCAUCCAGACAGAUCCUUCACAUGGAGGGCAACCCCCUGUUGAUCAUCCCCGCCUGUCUCUUCUGAAGAAUCUGCCCCCAUCCAGCACAGCACCCCAAGCUGGGGGACCUGUCCCCCCACACCUCAGCAGCUCUUCCAUCAAUGUCCCAGCCCUGUGACAGCAGGCGGGGAUCCAGCUCCUCCUGCCUUUGCCCCAGCCUGAGGGCAUUGGGGCACAUCUGGGCUGCAGCACCUCAGCUGUGGCACAAGGGCCAAACUCAGACUUGUCCCAGACCUUGUGCCAAGAGCCUGGGCAUGA